rnacentral:rRNA from 1 species
GAUGAACGCUGACAGAAUGCUUAACACAUGCAAGUCUACUUGAACUUCGGUUUGGGUGGCGGACGGGUGAGUAACGCGUAAAGGACUUACCUCACAGUUAGGGACAACAUUUGGAAACGAAUGCUAAUACCUGAUAUUAUGAUUUUAGGGCAUCCUAAGAUUAUGAAAGCUAUAUGCGCUGUGAGAGAGCUUUGCGUCCCAUUAGCUAGUUGGAGAGGUAACGGCUCACCAAGGCGAUGAUGGGUAGCCGGCCUGAGAGGGUGAACGGCCACAAGGGGACUGAGACACGGCCCUUACUCCUACGGGAGGCAGCAGUGGGGAAUAUUGGACAAUGGACCAAAAGUCUGAUCCAGCAAUUCUGUGUGCACGAUGACGUUUUUCGGAAUGUAAAGUGCUUUCAGUUGGGAAGAAAAAAAUGACGGUACCAACAGAAGAAAUGACGGCUAAAUACGU